GGCGAAACGACCUUUAUCCAAUCUUUGUAAUCCAGUCGAGAAGAGGGAAGAAGAGAAUAAGAGAGGAGCGAAGGGACAAGAGGAGUAAGGAGGAAGGCAGGAGGAUGAGAGGAAGGGUGAAGUGAGUUCCCAUUGGACAAACAGGAAGUGACGGUCGUCGGGGGAAACUGGCCGUCUAUAAUUAGGAGCUGGAGGAGACACGGAGACACCAGCGGCGGAGACAAAAGAAUUUUGGUUUAUAAAAAUCACGCCACGGGAAAACUCCAACGACGACGUCUGAUGAAAAGUGACGAGUUUGUGUUACGUCGGUGUUGGAGGGCGUCCAGGUGUUGGUGAACAGUAAUAAAUCAGAGUUGCUCUCACCCCUCUGAGGGACCAGCCGUCAGGAGAGAGAAGAGAGAAG